GGAUAUAGCUCAGUUGGUAGAGUGUUUGUCUAGCAUGCACAGGGCUCUGGGUUUAAUCCCUAGCACCA
rnacentral:tRNA from 1 species